rnacentral:lncRNA from 1 species
CUCAUAACAGUUCACCCUGAAGUGAAAUGGCUCAAGUCCUUCGCGGAUGAUACACUUUCAGAAAUCUUUUCCUAAUAACACUUUAAGAAACUUAUUAGAUACUAAAAAGAGAGCUCAAAGCAUGCUAAUUACCAAUUUCUGCAUGUUCCUGUGUCUUCUUUGUUUUAAACGUCUCCGAAGCUUCAGAUCAAUUUUUAGAUCAUCUUCCUCUUUAACCUGGAAGAGAGAGAAGUAAAAAAAUUGUCAUAAGUUGAAUCGACAACCCAGUGAUAACACCAGAAGUUACCUCUCAUCAGCAGAGAAUUCGAAGAAACAAAUGGUCAUUUAAAGGGUGCUUAAAAGAAAAAGAAAUAGUGUGGUGAAAAGGAAGGGGGGAAAAGGUGCAAUGAACACUUCAUCCGGCUCCAUGUCUUCAAGAAAUGAAGUAUUAAUGUCAAAGAAAAGAACUAGAAUAUACCAUUCACAGACCUUCUUAUACUUCCUCUUUUGCUCUUCAGAAAGAUUUAGCUCUCUUUCAUUUGCAAUGGCAUCUGCAACAAAUGGAUCAACAGAACUGUCUUCAAUAUCAUCAAUCUCCUCAACCU